AGUGAACGCUGGCGGUAGGCCUAACACAUGCAAGUCGAACGGCAGCACAGGAGAGCUUGCUCUCUGGGUGGCGAGUGGCGGACGGGUGAGGAAUACAUCGGAAUCUACUUUUUCGUGGGGGAUAACGUAGGGAAACUUACGCUAAUACCGCAUACGACCUACGGGUGAAAGCAGGGGACCUUCGGGCCUUACGCGAUUGAAUGAGCCGAUGUCGGAUUAGCUAGUUGGCGGGGUAAAGGCCCACCAAGGCGGCGAUCCGUAGCUGGUCUGAGAGGAUGAUCAGCCACACUGGAACUGAGACACGGUCCAGACUCCUACGGGAGGCAGCAGUGGGGAAUAUUGGACAAUGGGCGCAAGCCUGAUCCAGCCAUACCGCGUGGGUGAAGAAGGCCUUCGGGUUGUAAAGCCCUUUUGUUGGGAAAGAAAUCCAGCUGGCUAAUACCCGGUUGGGAUGACGGUACCCAAAGAAUAAGCACCGGCUAACUUCGUGCCAGCAGCCGCCGUAA
rnacentral:rRNA from 1 species